rnacentral:rRNA from 1 species
CCUACGGGAGGCAGCAGUGAGGAAUAUUGGUCAAUGGGCGAGAGCCUGAACCAGCCAAGUCGCGUGAGGGAGUACUGCCCUAUGGGUUGUAAACCUCUGUCAGCAGGGAAGAACGGUCACUGUGCUAAUCAGCAGUGAAUUGACGGUACCUGCAAAGGAAGCACCGGCUAACUCCGUGCCAGCAGCCGCGGUAAUACGGAGGAUGCGAGCGUUAUCCGGAUUUAUUGAGUUUAAAGGGUGCGUAGGCGGAUUUUUAAGUCAGCGGUAAAAUGUCCGGGCUCAACCCGGGCCGGCCGUUGAAACUGGGGAUCUUGAGUGGGCGAGAAGUAUGCGGAAUGCGUGGUGUAGCGGUGAAAUGCAUAGAUAUCACGCAGAACUCCGAUUGCGAAGGCAGCAUACCGGCGCCCGACUGACGCUGAGGCACGAAAGCGUGGGGAUCGAACAGGAUUAGAUACCCUAGUAGUC